GUAAAAUAGGGCAAUUUUUUUACUUGUUGCAAUGUGUAUACUUUUUUUAAACAAAAACUAGAGUUUGUCAUUUUAUAGUUUUUAAUUCAACUUUGCUAGAUUUUUUAAAAUUGUGUUUUACAAAGAUAACAGUCAUAUGAGAUUAGAAUUAAUACAACUUAUUCUUCAUCCAAGAUAGUUUCAGCAAAAUGAAACCCAGUGGGGCUAGAUACUACCAUUCAUGGAAAGGCCAUUUAGGACCACGUUGUAAGAUCCUUGAAUACCUCACAGAGGUGAUACUGUGUGGAAGGCAACAGAGAUAGAAAAUGUUUAGAGGGACUGCUACCUGAGAGUUGUGUACACAUAGACGAAAGGACUCGGAAUGUUCUUCUUCGUGUAUGUUUAAUUUUUCUUCCUUGUUUUUCUAAGCAUGUGAGUUUUCUUUUUCUUAGCAUCUCCCUACGCAGCCCAGGCUGGCCUGGAACUCACCAUCCCCCUGCCUCCAUCUUCCGGGUUCUGAGAUAAUACACACAUGUAUCAACAUGCCUAAGUUUUUCCUUGGUGUGGUUAAAAGGACAGGCAGGAACUGCAAAGUAUUUCACCAAGAUAACUUUGAUAAGAGUAUGGCUAAGCAAAGGAAUUUGGACUUACCAAAACACAACAUGUUAAAAAUUCACAUGCUUUGUGAGUGGAAAGGCACAUUUCUUUCCUGGACACUUUAUAAUGCCUAGGCAGACAAAGGACUUUCUGAUCACCUAGUUUAGAUUACGCCCUCUGCCUUCCACAGUUACCUCCUCCCUUACAGUCCUUCAACCUUGCAGGAAAGGAGAAAAUAACCUGGUGGUUUGUUUUGUUUUUCAGACAGGGUCUCAUUCAUUCUGUAGCUUUUACUAAGUCUCAAAGUCCUGGGCAAUCUCCUUGCUGGCUCAGCCUCCCUAGUGCUGAAUUAUUACCGGCAGGGCCAAAAUAACGGUUCAGUUGCUUCCCUUGGGGAGAAGUUUGACAAUUCCCGGCCCAAGGUUUCCAAAUGCCAGGCCUUGAGGACCCCACUUAGCCUAAGCCAGGCUCAGGGAGACAGAUGCCUGUCCAGGUCGGGUCGGUCCGCCACAGCCUCUGUUAAAACUCAAGUCGCGCUGCGAGGAGAAUUGCACCAUCUUCUGCGGGCUACUAGCCAGGGCGGAAUCCUUAGCUCUCAGGGCACGUGAAGAAGCCAGGCUUGCAGACCCAGGGCGCUGGGGAGGAGCUGGGGUUGGUGGGGGGCAGCUCUUGUGGCUCCGAGGCCCGCCCUGCAGGCCCAGCGCGACCUUCCCGUUCCCGCCCCCGGAUGCGCCCCGUCUUCUGCAGGCCUCACCCGGGUGUGGCCGCUGCUGCUCCGCAGAGCCUCGUGACCAGGGUUGUACCAAAGUCACACAACCUUGGGGACUGUGUCCUGCACUGCCGGGCACUGUGCAGUGGCCCUGGCACCUACAACAUGCCUGGUGCUGUUCUUGAUAUUGAGGAUACAGCAAUGAAGAGGACUUGACUGUGCGGCCUGUGAGGUGGUCGCCAUCUCUUUUGCAGCUGCCUUCUGGCCUCUGGGGAAGACCAAGAUUGCCAAAAAGAGGACCAAGACGUUUUCAGGCAUCAGUCUAUGG